GCAUGAUCACAACAAAAGUAGCUGUGCAGCACGUUUUUUAAUGAAGAGGAGGAUGGUUGUAGACGUUCACAUUCCUGCAAGAAGGCACUGCAGAGGCUAAGAAGACGCAUGGAAACUCUAAAACAAACAUAAUUCAACUUGUAGGCCAGAUUUGAAAAGGAAAUAAUAAAUCCCGAAGCUCAGAUGUCAGACACCGAGGCUGACAGUACCUCUGGGUCGAUAGUCCAUGUGUUGGAUGAUGCACCGCCGUUGAUCAGAACAGACAGCGUAUACGAGAGAUGUCAGCGAUUCGGGCUAAACAGCCAAUGACCAAGGGAAAGCUGGGACAAAAGAGAGGCUCACACGGU